rnacentral:tRNA from 1 species
GAGGGUGUAGCUCAGUUGUAGAGUGCGUACUUUGCAUGCACAAGGUCCCGGGUUCAAUCCCCAGUACCUCA